rnacentral:rRNA from 1 species
AUUGAACGCUGGCGGCAGGCCUAACACAUGCAAGUCGAGCGGAUGAAGGGAGCUUGCUCCUGGAUUCAGCGGCGGACGGGUGAGUAAUGCCUAGGAAUCUGCCUGGUAGUGGGGGAUAACGUCCGGAAACGGGCGCUAAUACCGCAUACGUCCUGAGGGAGAAAGUGGGGGAUCUUCGGACCUCCCGCUAUCAGAUGAGCCUAGGUCGGAUUAGUUAGUUGGUGGGGUAAAGGCCUACCAAGGCGACGAUCCGUAACUGGUCUGAGAGGAUGACCAGUCACACUGGAACUGAGACACGGUCCAGACUCCUACGGGAGGCAGCAGUGGGGAAUAUUGGACAAUGGGCGAAAGCCUGAUCCAGCCAUGCCGCGUGUGUGAAGAAGGUCUUCGGAUUGUAAAGCACUUUAAGUUGGGAGGAAGGGCAGUAAGUUAAUACCUUGCUGUUUUGACGUUACCAACAGAAUAAGCACCGGCUAACUUCGUG